UACAGAGGUGGCAAGCGUUGUUCGGAAUUACUGGGCGUAAAGGGCGCGUAGGCGGCCAUCUAAGUCAGACGUGAAAUCCCCCGGCUUAACCUGGGAACUGCGUCUGAUACUGGACGGCUUGAGUAUGGGAGAGGGAUGUAGAAUUCCAGGUGUAGCGGUGAAAUGCGUAGAUAUCGGGGGGAAUACCAGUGGCGAAAGCGGCACCCUAGCGUUAGCCUGACGCUCAUGUGCGAAAGCGUGGGGAGCGAACGGG
rnacentral:rRNA from 1 species